rnacentral:tmRNA from 1 species
GGGGGUGACACGGCUUCGACGUGGGCUGCGAAAUCUCCGGGGCAUGCCGAGGUGCAGAGUUCCUCGUAAAUCCAGCUGCAAAACCAUAGUUGCCAACGACGACAACUACGCUCUAGCGGCUUAAUCCCCGCUAGCCUUCCGCCUACGCUUCGCCCGCGGGCCGGGAUCGGAAGGUCAUCCACACGGGAUCGCGCCGCAUCGUGCCUGUUGGUACGGCGCUAAACCAAUAGCAGGCUAAGCGCGCCGAUGACCCUGUCUGCCGGGGAGUGGCGCGUCAAAUAAAAGACAGACUACGCAUGUAGAACCGUAGACGUAGGGCUUGCGGACGCGGGUUCGACUCCCGCCACCUCCACCA